UACGGAGGGGCUAGCGUUGUUCGGAAUUACUGGGCGUAAAGCGCGCGUAGGCGGACCUGCAAGUCGGGGGUGAAAGCCCGAGGCUCAACCUCGGAACUGCCUUCGAUACUGCGGGUCUCGAGUCCGGGAGAGGUGAGUGGAAUUCCUAGUGUAGAGGUGAAAUUCGUAGAUAUUAGGAAGAACACCAGUGGCGAAGGCGCUCACUGGCCCGGUACUGACGCUGAGGAGCGACAGCGUGGGGAGCAAACAGG
rnacentral:rRNA from 1 species